GCCCUGGUAGCUCAGGUGGAAGAGCGGUGCCAACUGAUAUGUGAAUUUGACAGUUAUGUUUCAUGCACCGGCGCAUGUUCGAGUCAUGCCCAGGGCU